AUCUGCAGUCGAGCGAACUGAUUAGAAGCUUGCUUCUAUGACGUUAGCGGCGGACGGGUGAGUAACACGUGGGCAACCUGCCUGUAAGACUGGGAUAACUUCGGGAAACCGAAGCUAAUACCGGAUAGGAUCUUCUCCUUCAUGGGAGAUGAUUGAAAGAUGGUUUCGGCUAUCACUUACAGAUGGGCCCGCGGUGCAUUAGCUAGUUGGUGAGGUAACGGCUCACCAAGGCAACGAUGCAUAGCCGACCUGAGAGGGUGAUCGGCCACACUGGGACUGAGACACGGCCCAGACUCCUACGGGAGGCAGCAGUAGGGAAUCUUCCGCAAUGGACGAAAGUCUGACGGAGCAACGCCGCGUGAGUGAUGAAGGCUUUCGGGUCGUAAAACUCUGUUGUUAGGGAAGAACAAGUACGAGAGUAACUGCUCGUACCUUGACGGUACCUAACCAGAAAGCCACGGCUAACUACGUGCCAGCAGCCGCGGUAAUACGUAGGUGGCAAGCGUUAUCCGGAAUUAUUGGGCGUAAAGCGCGCGCAGGCGGUUUCUUAAGUCUGAUGUGAAAGCCCACGGCUCAACCGUGGAGGGUCAUUGGAAACUGGGGAACUUGAGUGCAGAAGAGAAAAGCGGAAUUCCACGUGUAGCGGUGAAAUGCGUAGAGAUGUGGAGGAACACCAGUGGCGAAGGCGGCUUUUUGGUCUGUAACUGACGCUGAGGCGCGAAAGCGUGGGGAGCAAACAGGAUUAGAUACCCUGGUAGUCCACGCCGUAAACGAUGAGUGCUAAGUGUUAGAGGGUUUCCGCCCUUUAGUGCUGCAGCUGACGCAUUAAGCACUCCGCCUGGGGAGUACG
rnacentral:rRNA from 1 species